rfam:Gossypium raimondii Chr06_contig_562, whole genome shotgun sequence.
UUUUAAAAAUUUUAUUUCUUUGUAGUUUUAAAAGAUGGUAUAACUAACAGAAUAACCAGAUAGUGACACAUGGUAUGUCACGUGUAUUACAUGCUGAUAUAUAAAGACCCAUUUUUUAGUAUAAAAAAUGAAUGAAAUUUUCAAAA